rnacentral:lncRNA from 1 species
UCUGCCUACUGGAGACAUUGUGACAUAUCUCUGCACUGAUCACCCAGGUGAUGUCACUUUUGUCAAGGAUAUGGCUACAGGGACAUUGUGACAUGUCACUGCACUGAUCACACAGCUGAUGUAACUCUUGUCUAAGAUCUGGCUACAGGAGGCUUGUGACAUAUCUCUGCACUGAUCACCCAGGUGAUGUAACCCUUGUCUAAGCUCUGCCUACAGGGGCAUUGUGACAGAUCUCUCCACUGCUCACCCAGGUGAUGUAACAAUUGUCUGGGCUUUGCCUACAGGAGGCUUUGUGAUAUAUAUUUCCACUGAUCAAACAGGUGAUGUAACCCAUGUCAAGGUUCUGCUUAUAG